rnacentral:rRNA from 1 species
CAAGUCGAACGGACCCUUCGGGGUUAGUGGCGGACGGGUGAGUAACACGUGGGAACGUGCCUUUAGGUUCGGAAUAGCUCCUGGAAACGGGUGGUAAUGCCGAAUGUGCCCUUCGGGGGAAAGAUUUAUCGCCUUUAGAGCGGCCCGCGUCUGAUUAGCUAGUUGGUGGGGUAAUGGCCCACCAAGGCUACGAUCAGUAGCUGGUCUGAGAGGAUGACCAGCCACAUUGGGACUGAGACACGGCCCAAACUCCUACGGGAGGCAGCAGUGGGGAAUCUUGCGCAAUGGGCGAAAGCCUGACGCAGCCAUGCCGCGUGUAUGAUGAAGGUCUUAGGAUUGUAAAAUACUUUCACCGGUGAAGAUAAUGACUGUAGCCGGAGAAGAAGCCCCGGCUAACUUCGUGCCAGCAGCCGCGGUAAUACGAAGGGGGCUAGCGUUGCUCGGAAUUACUGGGCGUAAAGGGAGCGUAGGCGGACAUUUAAGUCAGAGGUGAAAUCCCGGAGCUUAACUUCGGAACUGCCUUUGAUACUGGAUGUCUUGAGUGUGAGAGAGGUAUGUGGAACUCCGAGUGUAGAGGUGAAAUUCGUAGAUAUUCGGAAGAACACCAGUGGCGAAGGCGACAUACUGGCUCAUUACUGACGCUGAGGCUCGAAAGCGUGGGGAGCAAACAGGAUUAGAUACCCUGGUAGUCCACGCCGUAAACGAUGAUUGCUAGUUGUCGGGAAGCUUGCUUCUCGGUGACGCAGCUAACGCAUUAAGCAAUCCGCCUGGGGAGUACGGUCGCAAGAUUAAAACUCAAAGGAAUUGACGG